AUUGAACGCUGGCGGCAUGCCUUACACAUGCAAGUCGAACGGCAGCACGGGAGCAAUCCUGGUGGCGAGUGGCGAACGGGUGAGUAAUAUAUCGGAACGUGCCCGGUCGUGGGGGAUAACGUAGCGAAAGCUACGCUAAUACCGCAUACGAUCUACGGAUGAAAGCGGGGGAUCGCAAGACCUCGCGCGAUUGGAGCGGCCGAUAUCAGAUUAGGUAGUUGGUGAGGUAAAGGCUCACCAAGCCGACGAUCUGUAGCUGGUCUGAGAGGACGACCAGCCACACUGGGACUGAGACACGGCCCAGACUCCUACGGGAGGCAGCAGUGGGGAAUUUUGGACAAUGGGCGCAAGCCUGAUCCAGCAAUGCCGCGUGCAGGAUGAAGGCCUUCGGUUGUAACUAGCUUUGUUACGGUAACG
rnacentral:rRNA from 1 species